UGGGGAAUUUUGGACAAUGGGGGCAACCCUGAUCCAGCAACGCCGCGUGUGUGAAGAAGGCCUUCGGGUUGUAAAGCACUUUUGUCCGGAAAGAAAACUUCGGGGCUAAUACCCCUGGAGGAUGACGGUACCGGAAGAAUAAGCACCGGCUAACUACGUGCCAGCAGCCGCGGUAAUACGUAGGGUGCGAGCGUUAAUCGGAAUUACUGGGCGUAAAGCGUGCGCAGGCGGUGCUGUAAGACCGAUGUGAAAUCCCCGGGCUUAACCUGGGAACUGCAUUGGUGACUGCAGCGCUGGAGUAUGGCAGAGGGGGGUGGAAUUCCACGUGUAGCAGUGAAAUGCGUAGAGAUGUGGAGGAACACCGAUGGCGAAGGCAGCCCCCUGGGCCAAUACUGACGCUCAUGCACGAAAGCGUGGGGAGCAAACAGG
rnacentral:rRNA from 1 species